UAGCUACAUACAGGCUAGCCAGGAGGCUCUAGAUAGAUACAGGCUAGCCAGGAGGCCCUAGCUAGAUACAGGCUAGCCAGGAGGCUCUAGCUAGAUACAGGCUAGCCAGGAGGCUCUAGCUAGAUACAGGCUAGCCAGGAGGCCCUAGCUAGAUACAGGCUAGCCAGGAGGCUCUAGCUACAUACAGGCUAGCCAGGAGGCUCUGGCUAGAUACAGGCUAGCCAGGAGGCCCUAGCUAGAUACAGGCUAGCCAGGAGGCUCUAGCUAGAUACAGGCUAGCCAGGAGGCUCUAGCUAGAUACAGGCUAGCCAGGAGGCUCUAGCUAGAUACAGGCUAGCCAGGAGGCCCUAGCUAGAUACAGGCUAGCCAGGAGGCUCUAGCUAGAUACAGGCUAGCCAGGAGGCUCUGGCUAGAUACAGGCUAGCCAGAAGGCUGUAGCUAGAUAACCAGCCAUGUAAUGCCAUUAGAAAAUCAUUAGCUUUUGUAGCGGUUAUGCUAUGUGGAAACACUUGUUUUAAUUAUUUCCUUCAUCUUCCUCACCAAAGCCUUCAUAUGGGUUUCAAAUUCGGUAAAUAUCAUUUAGUUAGCUAGCAAUUAAUUUCAACAAAUUUGAUCCAUAUUUAUCCCAUAAAACGUGAAAGCAC
rnacentral:lncRNA from 1 species